rnacentral:rRNA from 1 species
GAUGAACGCUGGCGGCGUGCCUAAUACAUGCAAGUCGAGCGAACAGACGAGGAGCUUGCUCCUCUGACGUUAGCGGCGGACGGGUGAGUAACACGUGGAUAACCUACCUAUAAGACUGGGAUAACUUCGGGAAACCGGAGCUAAUACCGGAUAAUAUAUUGAACCGCAUGGUUCAAUAGUGAAAGACGGUUUUGCUGUCACUUACAGAUGGAUCCGCGCCGCAUUAGCUAGUUGGUAAGGUAACGGCUUACCAAGGCAACGAUGCGUAGCCGACCUGAGAGGGUGAUCGGCCACACUGGAACUGAGACACGGUCCAGACUCCUACGGGGGGCAGCAGUAGGGAAUCUUCCGCAAUGGGCGAAAGCCUGACGGAGCAACGCCGCGUGAGUGAUGAAGGUCUUCGGAUCGUAAAACUCUGUUAUUAGGGAAGAACAAAUGUGUAAGUAACUAUGCACGUCUUGACGGUACCUAAUCAGAAAGCCACGGCUAACUACGUGCCAGCCGCCGCGGUAA